rnacentral:misc_RNA from 1 species
AAAAAAGAUGCCAGUUUCAAUAAGCAACUAAGAAAAAGAAAUGGAAUACAAAGAAAUGGUUCUUUAUCUGAAGCAGUUAAUUGGGCAAACCAAGAACAAAAAAGCCGAGGUAACUAAACACAUUAACGAGAAAUGGAAUUCAGUUGUCAAAAAUUGUGUCCAAAUAGCAUAAUAUAUUUAGGUUUUGGGAAAAAAUGAAAGAAGAAAAGGGAGGUUAUGCUGCAGCCUAUACUUCAUAGUUCCCUUUGGCAAUCCUUAAAUCUUAUGCUAGCUAAACUAGUACACAAACAUUGUCCACCUCCAAUAUACAUAUUUAGCAACUGCUCAAGUGAAUUUGCUAAUUUUCUAUUUCUAUUCGCGCUAAUUAAAUUGAAAGAAGCAUAAUCUUUGUCAAUAGAUCGAGAUUUAAUUUCCAAUUGAAAGUUAAUGCAAACUCAAUCUUUUGGCAAAUUUAUUGAAGCCAGAGAACUCAAUUCAUAUGAGCAGAGUGAACAUACCCG